GUCGAACGAAGCACUUUUUUAGAUUUCCUUCGGGGAAGAAGAAAUUGUCACUGAGUGGCGGACGGGUGAGUAACGCGUGGGCAACCUGCCCCAUACAGGGGGAUAACAGCCGGAAACGGCUGCUAAAACCGCAUAAGCGCACAAGGGCCGCAUGGCCUGGUGUGAAAAACUCCGGUGGUAUGGGAUGGGCCCGCGUCUGAUUAGCUAGUUGGCGGGGGAGAGGCCCACCAAGGCGACGAUCAGUAGCCGACCUGAGAGGGUGGCCGGCCACAUUGGGACUGAGACACGGCCCAAACUCCUACGGGAGGCAGCAGUGGGGAAUAUUGCACAAUGGGGGAAACCCUGAUGCAGCGACGCCGCGUGAGCGAAGAAGUAUUUCGGUAUGUAAAGCUCUAUCAGCAGGGAAGAAAAAUGACGGUACCUGAGUAAGAAGCACCGGCUAAAUACGUGCCAGCAGCCGCGGUAAUACGUAUGGUGCAAGCGUUAUCCGGAUUUGCUGGGUGUAAAGGGAGCGCAGGCGGUGCGGCAAGUCUGAUGUGAAAGCCCGGGGCUCAACCCCGGGACUGCAUUGGAAACUACCGAACUAGAGUGUCGGAGAGGUAAGUGGAAUUCCUAGUGUAGCGGUGAAAUGCGUAGAUAUUAGGAGGAACACCAGUGGCGAAGGCGGCUUACUGGACGAUAACUGACGCUGAGGCUCGAAAGCGUGGGGAGCAAACAGGAUUAGAUACCCUGGUAGUCCACGCCGUANACGAUGAAUACUAGGUGUCGGGGGGCAUUGCCCUUCGGUGCNGCAGCAAACGCAGUAAGUAUUCCACCUGGGGAG
rnacentral:rRNA from 1 species